UUUCUUCUGCAGCUUGAGAAAACAGAGGGUAAACAGAAAUGCAGGGAUCCUUAUCAAGGAAUUUUAAUAGUUUGCCCUGGUAACGAAUAUUUUUGUUGUGGUGAGGUAUGUUGUACUGAUCCCAAACCAAAGGUGGCGCCACUCUACUCGGCAUGGUAUUUCUGGAUCGCUGUGUUUGUUGUUGUAUGUUUCACCGUUUCGCUAGUCGUUGCGUGUGUUAUGUGCUGCAAGAAGAGCCGAAAGGACGUACUGAUAAGACUCAAGCGAUCCCUGCCUAAUGCUGUCCUUCGAACAACUCGGAAUUCACAUGGCAUAAUUCAACCAGACGUUACUUUUUACCAACGACCACCAACUAAAGAUACAAGUACGAGUCUCUGUACUACCCACUGCACCAACUUUCGGUUAACUACGCCGAUACGCCCCCUAACGCCGGCCUAUCAACCAACACAGCCAGUUACCGUGACAACAGUAAGUGUGCCCACUUCUUGUGAUGACCUGACAUUACCACCAGGUUACGUGACGUCACGAGAUCUACGAAAGAGCCAUUGAUUGUUUCCGUUUCAGCCGUCAGUGAUCAACAAACAGGGGCGUAUAAAACGUGGGGCAAAGGUAUGCUCCCCUCCCGAUAACUUGUUUAUAGUUUAUGUAUAUAAUAUGCGUUUGUUUCACGUGCCCCCUCUCCGUCCAAAUUUAAAUUACUGAGCAUGUCCGUAUAAUCAAAUGAUAAACUUCAUUUCUUGUACAGUAUGUUUACGCUGACACUAUAAAGACGGUCCCUUGCAUUUCUAGUGUUAAAAUUACAUAUGUUAACACUGACAAAACUUACUUUGCAAAAAUUCUUUAGUGUGUGUGUGUGUUUACAGUGUGUUGAUCCUGGUGGAGCGCGGGGUUCUUUGAGAAAUCAUAAUCAGAAGAAAAAAAUAUAUAUAUAAGUACUUAUGUCGUUGGAAUUGUGUGAGAGGAAAAUAUUGAUAUCGUUACCGUUUUCUCUAAUUACUUCUCCUUACGGAACCUAGAUGGCGCUCAGACUAAGUGAACAAAUCAUUGUGACUCUUCAGAUGAACUGUGAUGGUGAAAAUAGCCUAUGGAGCGAUGUGUGAGAAAAGUACAGUUAUCGAUAUGGAUAGUUAUUUCUUUUACACUGCCUAGAUGGCGCUCAACUCACUUUAUAGUAACAAUUCAGAAGAAUCACGUCAUCUUAUACUAUACGAACUGAACAAUAUAAUAUAAAUAAACAAUAUCUAAUCCUUUCUAUCAUUUACAGUUUGUAUGUAUAUAAAGUAAGGUACUUGAAAGCUCUAUUUGUUGAAUAAUAUAUAUAUAUAUUAUCAGAAAAGUAUAUUUCAAUGUUCGAAACGUACCCAGGAUUUUUAACAGUAAACAUAGGGCCUUGACUUCUCCGUUGUGAUUUGUCCGUUUGUUGAUGAACAUAAUUACUGGCUCCAGACACGUAUACAUUUAAUGUUUUGUACUAGUACUACUAGAGAGUUUUAAGUAUCGUAGGUUCGCGAAUAACAGCUCAAUCUGAAAUCAAGAAUGUAUUUAAAGCUUAAGGGGGAAUAUUCUGUAACAUUAUUUAACUUGCAUCUAAUAUUUUAUUACAUAUUCUGUAAAAUCAUUUACGUUUAGUAUUUUGUUAAAUAAUUUGUGUCUUAUAGAAUUAAUUAAGAAGAAUUAAGGGUUAGUUCACAUUCCAGGAACCAUUAAGAAGUAAAUAGAAAUUUAGCAGUGUGAUUACAGUUAACAUUACAAGUAUUUUUUAUUCUUUAUAAGAGGUUCCAUAUAAACGUGAUCUGGCUCUCAGUUAAACAAUUAACCAUUGUUUUAUUAUUAUUAUUAUUCACAUGCUACUGGGAUAACCUGUAUUUAUAAAGUCUUGAUCUAUUGUAAUAAGUUUAGAUAUGAAUAGCUUUACUGGUCUCGUAAACAUUCUGCAAUUUUUAUAUCCAGUGCAAGAAAUGUCAGUACGCUUAUUUCGUCUGUAUAUAUACACUACCCCGAAUAAUUUGGCCAUUGCAUUCCGCUUGUCUUUUGAUUGCUCGUAUUGCGAUAGAGGGUGCUAAAUUAUUCGAGUUAUACACACACACAACGAAAAAAUAAUAAGCCUUUAAACAAAGUGCCUUCUUAGGCACUUAGUGAAGUUGCUGUGUUUCAUGUGUGAUAGUUUGAUCACUGAGUGGAGUAAGAAAUUUGAAAAAAUUAUGGUCUUCUGAUCAUCCAAAA
rnacentral:lncRNA from 1 species